GUAGUCACCCUCGCUGCCCGUCCAGCUCGAGGACGCAGUCUUCCUCCCAGGAGAAGCUUUGCCGGUGAGACCACUGCAGAUGGUUCCCUAUAAUGAAAUUGUAUGUUUAAUCAAUAUCAUGCAACCGUUUAUUUUAAGCUGUAGAAGCUGAAAUGUAAAAUCAAGGUAACGUUCUUCAAGGUCAACCACAGCUUUGAAGAAGGCCUUUGCACCCGAAGCAGCAGGCAUGGGGACAAAAUGCCAACUCCAUCCAGGAAGCUGCUGGGGUAAAGAGUGACGGUCUUUCCCCACAUCUCCACCCAUAGUCUCCAGAAGACGAGUGACUACGUGGUCUCUGGUGUACUCUGACCUGGACCGACGGGCAAACAAAGACGCUCCGAUGGCGAGGGACCACAGAUGGGACACGUGAGGGGAGUGACUUGUUUAGUUGACGCCCGUCCAGAUGUGAUGUGAGGAAACCAUCAGCCACCUUUGUGCCUUUGCACCGCUGCAAGAUUUGAACCAGCUUUGUUUACCACCGUGCAACAAAGUCAGUGGCAGGACACCUCGAAACCUUUUGCCAGAUGAGGUCAAACUACUCAUCUGUCCUCCGCUGCCAUGCGGCUGUGGAUUAUCUGAAAGCCGAGAGGAUGGGCCAGAAUCAGCCGAGGCUCGAAGCCGGGAGACUCGGAACCGCUGAACGUUGUUACAUCUGGUUAUGCAACAAUCUAAUACGAACCACGCUGCCUUUUCUUCAGUGCCAUUUCUCAACAAGUCGCUUCUCCUGUCGUUUACGUGUUUUGAAUACAUGACGUAUGGUGAGUGGCGGGGAAAUAACACAAAAUAAUCAUUUCAGCUGGCGCAUACGGCGG
ensembl:lncRNA